GCCGCCCCACACCGGGGAAGAUGGCGGCGCCGGAGGCGGCGUGGAACCGGCUGGACGUGCCGUGGCCCGCGAGCAGCGCGACGGUGGCACUGGCGGCCAAACACCCUGCAGUGAGGUGGCUGCCGGCGCUGCGGCGGCGGUGCGACAUCGCCGGCAAGCGGCUGUCGGGGACAGGCCUGGCCGCCGAGGGACGCGUCCUGCGGGCCGUGCUCUACGUCUACCACCACAGGCUGCUCCGGCACCGGUCCUACCUGGCCCUGCAGCAGGUAGAACAAUGCUUGAAGCGCCUAUGGAAAAUGAACUUGCUGGGCUGCAUUGAAGCUCUGGCAGAACUGAUUCCCAAGAAAAGUACAUCCCAAGCCCAUGCAGAGUGCUUAGUUCCCAGCCAGCCUAUGCUGGAAACAGUGGCUCUGAAAGUAUUGGGAGGUUGCAAGCUUAUACUGCGUCUACUGGACUGUUGCUGUAAAGCUUUUCUCUUGUCCGUUAAACAUCUCUGCUCGGAAGAAUUCAUACUUUUGAACACUGUGGCUUCAGGGUUGUUGAGCCGGCUAUGGAUUCAGUACAGGUGUGUAUUGCAGAGCCUCAUGUCUUUGUAUGGCAUGUUGUUGACAUCACUUCAUCUGGUAUCUGAGACCCAACAGAUGCCUUAUAUCAAGGGGUUUACCUUCCCUUCUGAUAUCAGUAACUUCCUUGGAGUUAACAUUUCUUAUGAGGUGAAGAAGCAAAAGGCUAGAAUGCUUACAACAAAAAAACCUACCAGCUGGCUGAAGAAGCUCUUCCCAACAAUGCCAGAGGCAGUGUCAGAGGUUGGGAAAACAAGAAAUUCUGUGACCUGCAUGAGUGCUGUGAACAACUGUAGUGUCCCAUGCCCCAUGGACAUCGGAGAGCCAGUUCUGGUGACCAGAGCCAGGAAAGGGAAGCACCUGGGGUUUGAUGUGAAGAGCUUACUUAGGCCAUCCAGACCUCCAACACAAGAGGUUUGUACGGGUAUAAGCAUUGCAUCAACAUCUUUUAAAGCAAAGUCAGCAUCACUUUCCUCCCAUAUAGCAAAAUUGCAGCAUACUGGAUCUCUUGUACAGAUGGUUCAAACAGCUGCGUCGUUUGGGGAACUGUCAGAGGCACUCAGAAAAGCUAUUCUGUGGUGCAAAGGCAACAAAUUCAAAUCAGAAGCUUAUUUUCUGCGUAACAAGUUGUUGAAAAGCAACCGGCUGCACCAUGUGGAGGCUCAAGGAUGCAGAUCAUCUGUGACUCGGGAAAGAACACAUAAACUUUUGCUGAUGCCCAGCUCUGGUCAGGAGAAGCUGAAGAUGAAACUUAACAAUAUAAGUUUCCCAUGCUCUGCCAGCAAGCAGGUGUACAAGAAGCUGGGAGGGAGCGUGGCCAGGACAGGUGACCCGAACUAGCCAAAGGGAUAUUCCAUACCACAGGACGUCAUGCUCAGUAUAUAAACCGGGGAGAGUUGGCCAGGAGGGGCGGAUCGCUGCUCAGGCAUCGGUCAGCAGGUGCUCUCUCAGAUUGACAAACAAUUGACUGACUAUGGCCAAACAACUUGGAAACUGAAGGAAACUGAAGAGGAAGAAGGAGAAGGUGCAGCUGAGGUGCAGACACUGGAGAAACAAAAACACACUGGAGAGUAGAAGCCAGAGAUGAAGCACGGAAGGAUCCCAAGGAAUGAAUUCAAAAGAAAUACAAACUGGCUGUGAAUGCAUCAGAUGAGAAGAAAAGGAAGUUAAAGGACUGGCUGUAGCAUAUUGUGGAGAGGGUGGCUUCUUAUAUAGAGGGCUGUAGAGUGACAUUAGGGGACUCUUGCAAGAAUACAGUCAAAAUACUGGCUGUGUAGUGCCAGGGUUAUGGUGACAGACUAGACCAGAUGCUGUAGAGGAAGAAAAAGGAGAAAGUACUGCUGGAAGACCAGAGAGAUGCACAAGGUAAAUUCUUUUUCCAUAGAAGCCUGUACUCAACAUCACUUCUGUACAUGACAGGUGCAGAAGAGGCAAAGCUUUACAAGGUAAUGCUGGCUGCUUGCAGUGUGGUGUAUACCCUGCAAACAAUUUAAGACAUCAAAAGCAUUUAAAACUGAAAUGGUCUCUACUACUUUAGUAUGCUGCCAGUCCCUCCUUUGAUCAAUGAGUGGGGAAAAGGAAAGGGAGAGCUUUUGUGUCCCUGGCCUGGGGAAGUGCAGUUCCUCACUCCACAACACAGCAUGUUCCUCAAGAACUUGGCAAGAAAGUCUGCUCCUGUGUCAGAUGCCCGUUUAACCAAAGCAUGUUCCCAUGAAGGCACUGAAAUGUAAGGUUUAAAGUUUAAUUGAAGGAGAGGACUUGAUUUUAUUUACUACCUUACCUGUCAUAGGGGCACUGGUUCUUGCAUGUAACAAAACUGUCGUGUUCCCUCCUGCAGAUGGCUGAGGAAAAUCCAAGAGUAAUUCCAGUGUUGGAAGCAUUUGUGAAUGAAAAUCUUUUGACCAAUAAAGCAGAAAACCCACAUGUGUCCAGAGGUAAAACUGGCUCUUCAGGGUAAGACUGUACCCGCUGUUUCUAGUACAGCUGUAAAAAACUAUGAUCUAGCUCCAUGUGGCUUCCACUAAGGACACCUCGUGGCAACUAUACACACCCCCAAGGAUCAUGGGGUCCAAUUCACAGUCUGCUGCUAUUUCAAAGCACUUUUUAUAUAAAUGGAUUUACCAGACAUAUUUAAUGUAUUUAAGUGGUUAAUAAAAGACUUCCCAGCACUGUUAA